AACAAACGCUGGCGGCGUGCCUAAUACAUGCAAGUCGAACGAGGAAAGCUUUCGGGUGAGUACUAGUGGCGCACGGGUGAGUAAUGCGUAGGUAAUCUGCCUUAGAGUGGGGGAUAACCAGUCGAAAGAUUGGCUAAUACCCCAUAAGACCACAGGAUCUGCGGAUCUAGGGGUUAAAGGUUUUUCGCUCUAAGAUGAGCCUGCGUGAGAUUAGCUAGUUGGUGAGGUAACGGCUCACCAAGGCGACGAUCUCUAGCUGGUCUGAGAGGAUGAUCAGCCACACUGGAACUGAGACACGGUCCAGACUCCUACGGGAGGCAGCAGUAGGGAAUAUUGCACAAUGGAGGAAACUCUGAUGCAGCGACGCCGCGUGAGUGAUGAAGGCCUUCGGGUUGUAAAGCUCUGUCGCACGGGAAUAAGAAAGUGAAUGUACCGUGCAAGAAAGGAUCGGCUAACUUCGUG
rnacentral:rRNA from 1 species